rnacentral:lncRNA from 1 species
UCUUUUCUUUCUCUUUUUUUUUCUAUUUGAUAAUUUUUCCAUUUUUCAUUAAUUCUGAGAGUUUCAUGCGACGUGUACUGAUCAUAUAUAUUUUUCACACACACACACCCAACACCUCCCUACCCCUAACUCCUCUGAAAUCAACCCUCACCUCCCUACACACACCUCAACUUCGUGUCCCUUUUGUCAAGAACCCAUAGACUCCAAUUUGAGCAGUCUAUAUACUCCUGGUCCACGUGGGGACCAUUCAAUGGAGUAGGUUUAGCCUUCAAAGAACCACACCCUUAAAGAAAACCAUAGCCCCACUCGGAAGCCUUCUACUGUGCAUAGCUCCAGGGUGACCGGUGGGAUUUCAUUAAAAAAAAAAAAAAAAAAAAAAAGUUUCCCACUCCAUGCUAGCAGGUUGACUGGCUUGAUCUUCUGAGGAUAUUGUGCGACAACCUCAGCGGCUGUGUGUUCAUGCAUGCAGCAAUCCCGUCAUGCCCAGAGGCCAGCGCUGAGCUGUAGUGCCCCUGACCUAGAGUUCUGUGAAUCUUUUCACUCACCUUACUCCCACCCUUUGUGGAUUGUCCUGGAACGUUAAGGAGGGCUUGUGAUUUGUAUGUCCCAUUUGUGGCUGGGCAAUCCACGAGCAUUUAUUCUCUUCGAUUUGACCAUUUGUGGGUUUGUGCAUUAACCACCAUCCCCUGCACUGAGAAACUUGUCUGAUGAGGUCUCAGAGUUGCGCUGGCUGAUCUACAAGUAGAGAGACAUGAAUUCAGAGGGUCGUUUGCUUUGAUGUCCAUUUAUUUGACAUCAAAGUAAUAGGUUCAUUCCUGUGGCCCAUGAGCACCACAGCCACAGGCUCUUGGAGUAUCUUGGAGAAAGAUACGUUUCUUUCUGUGGAGUGAGCCUUAAUCCCAAUCAGAAAACAGUUAUCACCCUAUAUUGUAGAAAUGAGCAUAUCUCUCCAUGUUAGCCAUUCCUGUGGCUUGCAGGCUUCACUGGUAGGCAGGACUAUUGAUGGCUUUUCUCUCUUGGCAGCUCACAUAAUCAAUUCUAAGACUAUAAGAGCUAGAUUUCGGGAGACUACAGGUCAGUUCCAGAUGGGUUCCUCAAAGUCCUGUGUCCAAAAUGCAUGGUGUCUACAGCUAAAGGGUCUUGACAUCAAGUUCCGGUAGGCAACCAAGAGUAAUGGUAAUAGCCUGUAUUGAUUUUGGGACACCUGUGAUCAACAACUUAAAGGAAGGUUAUCCCACACCCCACUGGGCUUUUAAUUUGCAUCUCUCCCAGCCAAGACAAAGCUAGGAGCCAGUGAUCACUUCGGUAGCAAUGAAAAAUCACACCUGGAAAUAUCUAGUCCCACUCUCCCUGAGCCCAGUUAUCACGGGUUUCACCUUGAAAAGGCUAAGUAGUGGAGGAGAUAAAGCCAGGUAACUUGUAAGCAUUGUGCAAUGUGUACAUUAAUAUGUACAAUUUUAUGGUUACGUAUGACUCAAAGAACAAACUGAAUCACAAUAAGACUUCAUCCGGCGGUGAGCUCAUCAGAUCUUGCCAAAAUCCUACAGGGGCUGAAGUUUGUGUGCAAAUUUCUCCUUACUGAUUCUGUUCUCUUCCCCAUUUCUCCCUCCCCUCUCUUCUCCACCACUUCCACCUGUGACUUCCCCUUUUGCUUUGUCAACAACGUAGCUUUUAGAGCUUUCAACGUCACUGAUGCACACAGUGACUGAGAGGAGGCAGCCCCUCCUCCUUCACAAGUCACUGUAACAAGUCAAUGCUUUAUGAUAGGAAGUUCCUGUGAUGCUUACAGGCUGCUCUUUUGCAUGUGUAUUGUUGGCCACCAUCUAUGUUUAACUUUUUAUUUAUGAUACUCUAUUUAUGAUAUUUAUGAUUUUGAUUUACAGCCAGAUAUGUCAAUGUCAGCUCUUUGAGGACAGGAGACCAUCACUUCAAUGAAUAUUUAUUGAGUACCUAUCAGCUAGUGCCCAGAAUUCAGAUAGUAAAUGCCCUUUGUGAGACUUGCAGUUAGGUCUCCAUUUUUAACUCUAAUCCUAUUCAAAAGAGAAUUAUACUUUGAGUAAUUUUACCAAAUAAUACCAUAUAUUACAUGUGUGUAUACAUAUAUACAUAUAUGUGUGUAUACAUAUAUAUGUAUGUAUGUAUGUAUAUAUACACACACACACACAUAUAUUCUAAUAAAAAUCUGGGAUAAAUGAAGUCUGCCAGAAACUGUAAAAGUGUUUUCAAGAAGCAAUUUGAAGAGAUAUGCUACAGGAUAUUGCCCCUUGGUAAGGUACUUGGAACUCUCGAUAAUUGGCUCCUUUGCCCCUGGUUUCUUGACUCAUUGCCUGCUCAUCUUGUAGACUUUGAUGUCUUCUCUUACACUCAAAUUAUAGCAAAAUACACUCUCUGACCUCGGCACUUCCUGGAUCCCAAGGCUAAUAGAAGUAACUGGUAUAC